GGCCUACCAUGGUGGUAACGGGUAACGGGGUGUUAGGGCACGACACCGGAGAGGGAGCCUGAGAAACGGCUACCACAUCCAAGGAUGGCAGCAGGCGCGCAAAUUACCCAAUCCCGACACGGGGAGGUAGUGACAAUAAAUAACAAUACGGGGUUCUAUAGGAUUUCGUAAUUGGAAUGAGUACAAUUUAAAUCUCUUAACGAUCAACAAUUGGAGGGCAAGUCUGGUGCCAGCAGCCGCGGUAAUUCCAGCUCCAAUAGCGUAUAUUAAAGUUGUUGCAGUUAAAAAGCUCGUAGUUGAAUUUCGGGAUUAGUAGGUUGGUCAUGCCUCUGGUAUGUACUGGUCUCACUGAUUCCUCCCUCUUGACGAACUGUAAUGUCAUUAAUUUGGUGUUGCAGGAAAUCAGGACUGUUACUUUGAAAAAAUUAGAGUGUUUAAAGCAGGCUAAGGCUUGAAUACAUUAGCAUGGAAUAAUGAAAUAGGACGUUUGAUCCUAUUUUGUUGGUUUCUAGGAUUGACGUAAUGAUUAAUAGGGAUAGUUGGGGGCAUUAGUAUUCAAUUGUCAGAGGUGAAAUUCUUGGAUUUAUUGAAGACUAACUACUGCGAAAGCAUUUGCCAAGGAUGUUUUCAUUAAUCAAGAACGAAAGUUAGGGGAUCGAAGACGAUCAGAUACCGUCGUAGUCUUAACCAUAAACUAUGCCGACUAGGGAUCGGAUGAUGUUAAUUUUUUAAUGACUCACUCGCGCCUUACG
rnacentral:rRNA from 1 species